GACCUCGGAUCAGACAAGA
rnacentral:rRNA from 1 species